UUUAAUCUAAUAAAAAUAUGAACUACUCACCUCUCCCCCAGCCUCUACAAGAUUAGAGUACAGUACACUCUCAAUAUCCGAACUACCUACUUCUCCCCCAGCUCCUACGAGAUAAAAAUUAGAGUACACUCCCAAUAUCAUAAAUGUAUAUAUUUCUCCACCCCAAUUUCCUCCUUCUCCGGAGAAAAUAUCGAUGGUUCAGUCUCCACUACGCUCAUUUCCCCACCUUUUUCAAUAGAAUUUAGCACAAAUUAAAAAAAUUAUAGACUGAAUAGUUAUAUCGAAGAGACCCUCAAACCUAGAGAAUCACAGAAUUGAUCAGUUGUUGGAGACAAAUCAACAAAGAAAAGUCAGCUAACGGCCGUAUGCAUCUCCUAAUAUCCAGAACUCAACUUUCUGUUGUUACCUCAAAUCUCACUUGAAUUUUGCUGAUAUUUGAUGGGAGUAAUAACAUCUUGAAUGGAUCACAUGAAAGCUUUAGAGGUGUUUGAUGGACACCAAAUAAAUAUAUACAAUGUGUGGAAGGUCCGUCAAAGUAAAGAGGAAGAAUAAAGAGGCUAUAUGGGCAAGUGACAAUCUCUUAAAUUCAAGAAUUCACAAAAGAAGACAACCAAACAAGGCCCUUAUCUCAUUAAGGGUAAAAUUAUAAAAAAAUGUCUUCUUUAUUUUCUUAGUAUAAUUAGUAUUGUUUUGUCAUUUUUGAAGACUUAGAUUAUGAUGAAUUGAAUAUUUAAAAUUUUCGAAGCUUGUAGUUUCUAGGUAAAGCCUAGCAUUAGUGUAGUUCAUAAUUGGUAAUUGUAGUUGAGUGAUUAGGGUGGAUUCUUGAUAUUGCUCGCGUUAACUUCUUCUAGCUUAAUCAAUAAUCAAGUUACCCUCUUUGUGGAUUUCAAUUUGGUUUUCUCAUUUUUUGUUGAGUUUGGGUUUUUGUUGUUUGAUC